rnacentral:rRNA from 1 species
GAAUAUUGCGCAAUGGGCGAAAGCCUGACGCAGCGACGCCGCGUGUGGGAUGAAGGUCUUCGGAUUGUAAACCACUGUCGGGAGGGACGAAUGCGCCGCAAGGCGAGUGACGGUACCUCCAAAGGAAGCACCGGCUAACUCUGUGCCAGCAGCCGCGGUAAUACAUAGGGUGCGAGCGUUGUCCGGAAUCACUGGGCGUAAAGGGCGCGUAGGCAGCUUGGUAAGUAGGGGGUGAAAUCUUGCGGCUCAACUGCAAGGCUGCCUCCUAAACUGUCAGGCUUGAGCACAGUAGAGGCAGGUGGAAUUCCCGGUGUAGCGGUGGAAUGCGUAGAGAUCGGGAAGAACAUCGGUGGCGAAGGCGGCCUGCUGGGCUGUUGCUGACGCUGAGGCGCGACAGCGUGGGGAGCAAACAGG